rnacentral:rRNA from 1 species
GACGAACGCUGGCGGCGUGCCUAACACAUGCAAGUCGAACGAAGAGCGACGGAAGCUUGCUUCUAUCAAUCUUAGUGGCGAACGGGUGAGUAACGCGUAAUCAACCUGCCCUUCAGAGGGGGACAACAGUUGGAAACGACUGCUAAUACCGCAUACGAUCUAAUCUCGGCAUCGAGGAUAGAUGAAAGGUGGCCUCUACAUGUAAGCUAUCACUGAAGGAGGGGAUUGCGUCUGAUUAGCUAGUUGGAGGGGUAACGGCCCACCAAGGCGAUGAUCAGUAGCCGGUCUGAGAGGAUGAACGGCCACAUUGGGACUGAGACACGGCCCAGACUCCUACGGGAGGCAGCAGUGGGGAAUCUUCCGCAAUGGACGAAAGUCUGACGGAGCAACGCCGCGUGAGUGAUGACGGCCUUCGGGUUGUAAAGCUCUGUUAAUCGGGACGAAAGGCCUUCUUGCGAACAGUUAGAAGGAUUGACGGUACCGGAAUAGAAAGCCACGG